rnacentral:lncRNA from 1 species
GCUUUAAUAUCACGUAACCUGAAAAAUGUUGGUAAAUUAUACAAUUCUUAGAUUAAGAAGCAAGAUUUUAAGUGUCCGUCGGCACGAACCGUAUCUAAUGUGCCGUACCAUGUCAACAAGAUACCGAUACAAUACAGAUCUCGUGCCGAUGACACAACUCAAAACACUCUAUUUUUUAAAUUAGUAAGUAAUUUUUUUAAUAAAGUUCAAAAGAUGUGAUAAAAAGACAUAAUAAAUAGUUAUAAUAUUUUGUUGGUUAAGAAAAUAAAUAUUUUAUACUAUUAUAUGUCGGCACAUAAGAAUUUUUUUGACCAGUAUACACGACACGGCUCGGCACGCAACGUGUCGGCAAGUUUCCGGCACGAUCCCACGCCACGGCACUUAAAUCCUUGAUUAAGAGUUGU